GACGAACGCUGGCGGCGUGCUUAACACAUGCAAGUCGAACGGAAAGGCCCUGUCUUUGUGGGGUGCUCGAGUGGCGAACGGGUGUGUAACACGCGAGUAACCUGCCCUUGACUUUGGGUUAACUUCAGGAAACUGUGGUUAAUACCCGCUAGGAGCUCCUGCUGCAUGUUGGUGGAUGGAACGUUCCGGCGGUCGGGGAUCGACUCGCGGCUUAUCUGCUUGUUGGUCGGCUAGUGACUUACCAAGGCUUUGAAGGGUAGCCGACCUGUGAAGGUGACCGGCGACAGUGGGACUGAAAUACGGCCCAGACUCCUACGGUAAGCAGAAGGGGGAAAUAUUGCACGAUGGGCGGAAGCGUAAUGCUAAAACGCCGCGUGCGAGAUGACGGCCUUCGGGUUGUAAACCGCAUUCGACUGUGACGAAGAGUGAGUGACGGUAGCGGGUAAAGAAGCACCGGCUAACUACGUG
rnacentral:rRNA from 1 species